rnacentral:lncRNA from 1 species
ACUCUCUUCCUGUACAUACAGGGCCUUGCUGCUCUUGAGGGAUUGUCCUGGCAGGAUCAAAAGCAGCUCCUGCAUGGGGACGCCGUGUCCUCCUGCUGUUAUCAUAGUAUGCCCUGUGCUCCCAGGAGGAGGCUGAGUCUAGAUCAUAAAGGGCAUUGUGGCACCUACCUUGAUUUCUCUUGGAUCACUCAUUCUGAGGGAAGAUAGCUGCCAUGUUGGGAGGACGUGCAAGCAGCCCUGUGAAGAGGUCAACACAGGGGGGAACUGAAGCCCCUUCCAAACAGCUAGCACCAACUUGCCAGCCAUGUAAAGUGAUUCACCUUGGAAACAGAUCCUCCAGCCUCAGCCAAGCCUUCAGAUGCAACCUCAUGACAGACUCUGAACCAGAAACACACAGCCAAGCUGCUGACCCACAGACUUUGUGAGAGAUCAUAAACAUUUACUGUUGUUCUAAGACACUGUUUUAGGGUGCUUUGUUGUACAACAAUAGCUUACUGAAAAUACAGAGAGCCUAGCACAGUGCCUGCAUGUGGUCAUCACUCAAUGGUUGAGCGAGUGAAUCUUGCUUAGUAUUGAACACUCCCACUGACAGCUAACUGUACCAUCUCUCAAAACAAUUCAUUCUAUCUUUGGGCAAUUCUGUUAAAGAUUAUUAGAAUUAAAUUGGAUCUUUCUCAAUACAGCUUCCACAUCUUGGUCUUAUUUUUACUGCUCUUUCAAAAAUCAUUAAACUGGAAUCUUUCUUAACAUAGCUUCUACA